rnacentral:rRNA from 1 species
GAUGAACGCUGGCGGCGUGCCUAAUACAUGCAAGUCGAGCGAACAGACGAGGAGCUUGCUCCUCUGACGUUAGCGGCGGACGGGUGAGUAACACGUGGAUAACCUACCUAUAAGACUGGGAUAACUUCGGGAAACCGGAGCUAAUACCGGAUAAUAUAUUGAACCGCAUGGUUCAAUAGUGAAAGACGGUUUUGCUGUCACUUAUAGAUGGAUCCGCGCGCAUUAGCUAGUUGGUAAGGUAACGGCUUACCAAGGCAACGAUGCGUAGCCGACCUGAGAGGGUGAUCGGCCACACUGGAACUGAGACACGGUCCAGACUCCUACGGGAGGCAGCAGUAGGGAAUCUUCCGCAAUGGGCGAAAGCCUGACGGAGCAACGCCGCGUGAGUGAUGAAGGUCUUCGGAUCGUAAAACUCUGUUAUUAGGGAAGAACAAAUGUGUAAGUAACUAUGCACGUCUUGACGGUACCUAAUCAGAAAGCCACGGCUAACUACGUG